AUUCAGCCGACGAGUCCCAAAUAGGACGAGAUGCGCGUUGUCCUGGAU
rnacentral:hammerhead_ribozyme from 1 species